AGUGAACGCUGGCGGUAGGCCUAACACAUGCAAGUCGAACGGCAGCACAGUAAGAGCUUGCUCUUACGGGUGGCGAGUGGCGGACGGGUGAGGAAUACAUCGGAAUCUACUUUUUCGUGGGGGAUAACGUAGGGAAACUUACGCUAAUACCGCAUACGACCUACGGGUGAAAGCAGGGGAUCUUCGGACCUUGCGCGAUUGAAUGAGCCGAUGUCGGAUUAGCUAGUUGGCGGGGUAAGGGCCCACCAAGGCGACGAUCCGUAGCUGGUCUGAGAGGAUGAUCAGCCACACUGGAACUGAGACACGGUCCAGACUCCUACGGGAGGCAGCAGUGGGGAAUAUUGGACAAUGGGCGCAAGCCUGAUCCAGCCAUACCGCGUGGGUGAAGAAGGCCUUCGGGUGGUAAAGCCCUUUUGUUGGGAAAGAAAAGCAGCAGGUUAAUACCCCGCUGUUCUGACGGUACCCAAAGAAUAAGCACCGGCUAACUUCGUG
rnacentral:rRNA from 1 species